rnacentral:rRNA from 1 species
GACGUAGGUGGCGAACGUUAUCCGGAAUUAUUGGGCGUAAAGGGUGCGUAGGCGGCAUGAUAAGUUAUUGGCGGCAAAUCGAGGCUCAACCCCGUGGAAACUGAUAAUACUGUCUUGCUUGAGUGCAGAAGAGGUUAACGGAACUCCAUGUGGAGCGGUAAAAUGUGUAGAUAUAUGGAGGAACACCGGUGGCGAAGGCGGCGAUCUGGGUAGAUACUGACGCUGAGGUGCGAAAGCGUGGGGAGCAAACAGG